UUGGUUUAGGGAAAUGGAUAUAUAAAUUUUGAGUCUAUUUCAGAAAUAUGAUUGGGGUAUUUCAAAAUAGAAUAUUGAAUUACUGAAAAAUUCAGAGAAAUAACAGUGAUUUGAAAUAGAGGGUUAUUUUGAAAUCGAAUAUGGCUAUUUUGAAAUAUAAUUGCUGGAAUACUGGGCAGUUUUGUGGGUUUUCAUUCGAUGAUAAAACUGAAGACCCAAACUUGGACCCAUGAUUAUCGGGUUUUAAACACGGUUUUAGUAUAUUAUUACCCAUAUUUUGGAUAUAUUGGAUUAAAAAGAUUUGAUCAUUUGGUGGGUUAAUUUGUGAAUUGAAGUGUGCAUGAGGGAUCAAAGUAACGAGACAAGGGUUAAGUUUUAACCCUAAUAAGACCAUUUGGUCAUGCAUUCUAUAGCUUGGUGGAGAAGGACAAGCAUGCAUGAGUUUAUGGGCCAAUCAAUGAGCAAGGAAGGUAAGACAAAAAUUUUGGGACCAAUAAUGGGGGUAGAAAAUCUCCUACAAAGGGAGAUACAUCUGCUACAGUAAACCAUGAGAGGGGGAAGCCCUUUUGGAAAAUGACCUGUUUUCCCUAAAAAAAACAUGCAAAAGAAGGAAAAAGGGAGGGUCAGGAUGGUCUUUUCUUGCGAAGGAACUAGGAUAUCAGAUUUGGGAGAAGAAAUUCUUCUCAUUCUCCUACCUUGUGGCUGAUAGAUGGAGGAGGGAGCUUGAGUUGUGUUCUUGCUUGAGUUCUGUGGGCAUACUUGGAUAAUUCUUUCUCAAGGACAAAAUACCUACUAUUUUGGAGGAUCUUUGGCUUGAAACCUCAUGAACUUUGUAACUUGCACCCUCUAAUUUCAUGUGCAUGCCAAGGUAGAACAAAACAUUUGAAUCGUAUGCAUGCAUGAUGCAUUUGUACCUUUUGUGCUUACAAAUGUCAUGUUGGACAUGGUGGGCUAUGCACACCACGUGAUGUCUAAAGAACUAGAUGUUUCUGGUUAGAAUGCAUGAUGUUUGUGGGUGAUAUAUGCAUUUCUGGGUUAUUCUUGAUCGAAAAAUGAGGCAGUGACAUGGCAGUGUAACAACCCCCUCCUCCUAGAGGACAAGAAGCAUAGGAGACUUGCUAGACUGCAGUAAAAUAGUGUUGAAAUAUAAAAUUGGUAAUACCAAGAAAAAGAAUAAUAUAAUGACUAUUGAUUGCAGAAAUAUUAACUUAAAAAGAAAUAACAAAAAUGGAAUAUCAUUUUGUGGUGUCAACUGAGGAUGGGGGUGGUGGGAAGAGGAUUAUUGUUAGUAAGAUAAGGUCAGAAAUAUGGCAAUCAUCUGGAUCUAAUAUUUUUAUCCAAGUAUAGAGGUUAACAGUUUCUGGUUUUGUUCCAUAGUAUCUCUGGAUGUAAUCAUCAUUAAGUUUUAGAGAC